rnacentral:tRNA from 3 species
GCCGCUUUAGCUCAGUGGUAGAGCAACCGCCUUGUAAGCGGUAGGUCGUCUGUUCAAUCCAGACAAGCGGCACCA